rnacentral:lncRNA from 1 species
CCUCAUUUCAGUGGCAAUGUAAAUUUAGGAGAACGAAAUUAUCAUCUCACAUCUGCCACCAACUGCUAUUAGCUGUAGAAUGUCAUACGCGUCUGUGUGAAGAGACCACCAAACAGGAUUUGUAUGGAGUGCAGAUAUUUUCAUCCAGAAGUUCUUAGAUGAUGUGUUCCAAUCACUUUAUAGAGUGGCUUCUUCUU